rnacentral:lncRNA from 1 species
UCCACACUAACUAAUACAUACACGUGACUUCAUUACUCUUGUAAACCUCCUGGUCUACCCUGUACCUGCAAUCCUGGGGAAAUUGGGAGAGGGGUGAGCUACUAGAGCCCAGUGAGCAGAAUAAUACAACACUUAAAACAUAUGAUAACAUGAAAUGCAUCACAUCACAGCUAAUCACAUCAAGGAUGAACUUGUCACCAAUAGCCCUCUACAUGGUCCAACUGUGCCAGAACGUAGAAUGGGUCCUGGUCUUUCCCUUACAUAUCAUAACAUAACAGUGUCCAACUGUGCCAGAACGUAGAAUAGGUCCUGGUCUUUCCCUUACAUAGUGCCAGCGAACGUAGAAUGGGUCCCACUGGUCUUACUUUCCGUACCGUCAUAUCAUAUCGUCAUAUCAUAGAUCGAGGGCUAUGGAUCAUUCAACAUUCAUCCACAUCAACAUUAAAAUGUGCAAUGCAACAUAUUCGUGAAUUCUAAUGCAAGCAACCUAAUUCAUCACAUGGCAUUCAUGAUGCAUGAACAAUGCUCAAAACUUUGAAAUUUAUUUACUUUAAACGUAAAGGUUUAUUCCAC